rnacentral:rRNA from 1 species
UGGGGAAUAUUGGACAAUGGGCGCAAGCCUGAUCCAGCCAUGCCGCGUGAGUGAUGAAGGCCUUAGGGUUGUAAAGCUCUUUCGCCGGUGAAGAUAAUGACGGUAACCGGAGAAGAAGCCCCGGCUAACUUCGUGCCAGCAGCCGCGGUAAUACGAAGGGGGCUAGCGUUGCUCGGAAUCACUGGGCGUAAAGCGCACGUAGGCGGAUCGUUAAGUCAGGGGUGAAAUCCUGGAGCUCAACUCCAGAACUGCCCUUGAUACUGGCGAUCUCGAGUUCGAGAGAGGUUGGUGGAACUCCGAGUGUAGAGGUGAAAUUCGUAGAUAUUCGGAAGAACACCAGUGGCGAAGGCGGCCAACUGGCUCGAUACUGACGCUGAGGUGCGAAAGCGUGGGGAGCAAAACAGGAUUAGAUACCCUGGUAGUCCACGCCGUAAACGAUGGAUGCUAGCCGUUGGGGGGUUUACCUCUCAGUGGCGCAGCUAACGCCUUAAGCAUCCCGCCUGGGGAGUACGGUCGCAAGAUUAAAACUCAAAUGAAUUGACGGGGUCAUAGCUGUUUUCCU